rnacentral:rRNA from 1 species
GACGAACGCUGGCGGCGUGCUUAACACAUGCAAGUCGAACGGUGAAGCGCCUUCCUUUUUGGUGGGUGUGGAUGAGUGGCGAACGGGUGAGUAACACGUGAGUAACCUGCCCCCUUCUUCUGGAUAACCGCAUGAAAGUGUGGCUAAUACGGGAUAUUCUGGGUCUGUCGCAUGAUGGGUCUGGGAAAGAUAUUGUUUCGGUGGGGGAUGGGCUCGCGGCCUAUAAGCUUGUUGGUGGGGUGAUGGCCUACCAAGGCGGUGACGGGUAGCCGGCCUGAGAGGGUGGACGGUCACACUGGGACUGAGACACGGCCCAGACUCCUACGGGAGGCAGCAGUGGGGAAUAUUGCACAAUGGGCGCAAGCCUGAUGCAGCGACGCCGCGUGAGGGAUGGAGGCCUUCGGGUUGUGAACCUCUUUCGCCAGUGAAGCAGGCCUGCCUCGUUUGUGGGUGGGUUGACGGUAGCUGGAUAAGAAGCGCCGGCUAACUACGUG